rnacentral:sRNA from 1 species
GCUGGGUGCAGUAGUGCACGCCUGUAAUCCCAGCCGCUCUGGAGGCUGAGAUAGGAGGAUUAUGUGUUUGAAGCCAGCUUCAACAAUUUAGUGAGGCCCUAAGCAACUCAUUGAGACCCUGUCUCUA